rnacentral:rRNA from 1 species
CUACGGAGGGUGCAAGCGUUGUUCGGAAUCACUGGGCGUAAAGGGCGCGCAGGCGGUUUGGUAAGUCAGAUGUGAAAGCCCAUGGCUCAACCAUGGAAGUGCAUUUGAAACUGUCAGACUUGAGUACUAGAGGGGAAAGUGGAAUUCCCGGUGUAGGGGUGAAAUUCGUAGAUAUCGGGAGGAAUACCGGUGGCGAAGGCGACUUUCUGGCUAGAUACUGACGCUGAGGCGCGAAAGCGUGGGGAGCAAACAGGAGUAGAUACCCCGGUAGUCC